AAUCAUUGUAAAUGAAAAACAUUAUAAAACAUGACAUGAAGACCAAAGGGUUGGUGUUCUUCCCCAUUUCCACCCAGUAAAUCCUAGAAAACAAGACAUUCUUAUCCUUCUCUAGAAAACUAUACAUUUCGUAUCAAUUUUCACGAUCCAGCGCUCAGCGACCAUGUCUCAAUACUCAACAUCAAGUAAUCGUAGUGUUUCUCGCUCCAAUCAUGUCGAAUGUAAGUGUGGUAUUCCUUCUCCAUUAAUGGCGACGUAAACGAUUUGAACCCAACUCGUCGUUUUUUGGCUGUGGGAUGUACAAGAAUACAAGGAUACAAGAGUAGUCACUUCAUCUGGUACGAUGAAGAAAUGUAUCAAUGAGUCAAGAAAGUAAUAUCUUUAAUGCAUAAAAAAUUAAACCAAUAAAAUGUCAAGUUGAAUGAAGCCAUUAUCAGAGAGGAUCAACUGAAGUUGAAGAUCAAGUUCUUGAAGAUGAUGAACAAGUCUACCAUGAGAAUGACCUUAAUGCUGUUAAUUGGAUUUGUUGUAUCAAAUGUAAUAAAUUAGUUGAUUAUGUUAGGUUUGUUUGUGUUAAGUUUAUUUGUGCAAUGUAAUACACUGUUAAUGUUGUGUGAACUGCAAUGCAAUGUAAUUGACUAUGUUAAGUUGAAUGAAGAUUGUUAUUGUUGAA